rnacentral:rRNA from 1 species
CGCAUGGUAGGAGAGCGUUCCGUAAGCCUGCGAAGGUGCCUUGUAAAGGGUGCUGGAGGUAUCGGAAGUGCGAAUGCUGACAUGAGUAGCGAUAAAGGGGGUGAAAGGCCCCCUCGCCGUAAGCCCAAGGUUUCCUACGCAACGUUCAUCGGCGUAGGGUGAGUCGGCCCCUAAGGCGAGGCAGAAAUGCGUAGCUGAUGGGAAGCAGGUCAAUAUUCCUGCACCGUCGUUAGAUGCGAUGGGGGGACGGAUCGCGGAAGGUUGUCCGGGUGUUGGACGUCCCGGUCGCUGCAUUGGAGAAGGCGCUUAGGCAAAUCCGGGCGCAGGAUUCAAGGGUGUGGCGCGAGCGACUUCGGUCGCGAAGCAAUUGGAAGUGGUUCCAAGAAAAGCCUCUAAGCUUCAGUCUAACGAUGACCGUACCGCAAACCGACACAGGUGGGCGAGAUGAGUAUUCUAAGGCGCUUGAGAGAACUCGGGAGAAGGAACUCGGCAAAUUGGUACCGUAACUUCGGGAUAAGGUACGCCCUUGUAGCUUGACUGGCCUGCGCCAG